GUGACCCUAAAAAUUCCACCAGAGAACUCCUAAACCUGAUAAACAGUUUGAGUGAAGUAGCUGGAUAUAAAAUUAACUCAAACAAGUCAAUGGCCUUUCUCUACUCAAAGAAUAAACAGGCUGAGAAAGAAAUUAGGGAAACAACACCCUUCUCAAUAGUCACAAAUAAUAUAAAAUACCUUGGUGUAACUCUAACUAAGGAAGUAAAAGAUCUGUAUGAUAAGAACUUCAAGUCUCUGAAGAAAGAAAUUAAAGAGAUCUCAGAAGAUGGAAAGAUCUCCCUUGCUCAUGGAUUGGCAGGAUCAAAAUAGUGAAAAUAGCUAUCUUGCCAAAAGCAAUCUACAGAUUCAAUGCAAUCCCCAUCAAAAUUCCAACUCAAUUCUUCAACGAAUUAGAAAGGGCAAUCUGCAAAUUCAUCUGGAAUAACAAAAAACCUAGGAUAGCAAAAACUCUUCUCAAGGAUAAAAGAACAUCUGGUGGAAUCACCAUGCCUGACCUAAAGCUGUACUACAGAGCAAUUAUGAUAAAAACUGCAUGGUAGUGGUAUAGUGACAGACAAGUAGACAAAUGGAAUAGAAUUGAAGACCCAGAAAUGAACCCACACACCUAUGGUCACUUGAUCUUUGACAAGGGAGCUAAAACCAUCCAGUGGAAAAAAGACAGCAUUUUCAACAAAUGGUGCUGGCACAACUGGUGGUUAACAUGUAGAAGAAUAUGAAUUGAUCCAUCCCUAUAUCCUUGUACUAAGGUCAAAUCUAAGUGGAUCAAGGGAUGCCACAUAAAACCAGAGACAGUGAAACUUAUAUAGGAGAAAGUGGGGAAAAGCCUCGAAGACAUGUGCACAGGGGAAAAAUUCCUGAAUAGAACAGCAAUGGCUUGUGCUGUAAGAUCGAGAAUCGACAAAUGGGACCUCAUAAAAUUGCAAAGCUUUUGUAAGGCAAAAAACACUCACAAUAAGACAAAAAGGCCACCAACAGAUUGGGAAAGGAUCUUUACCUAUCCUAAAUCAGAUAGGGGACUAAUAUCCAAUAUAUAUAAAGAACUCAAGAAGGUGGAGUCUGAAAACCCCAUUAAAAAUGGGGUGCAGAGCUUAACAAAGAAUUCUCACCUGAGGAAUACCGAAUGGCAGAGAAGCACCUGAAAUAAUGUUCAGCAUCCUUAAUCAUCAGGGAAAUGCAAAUCAAAACAACCCUGAGAUUUCACCUCACACCAGUCAGAACAGCUAAGAUCAAAUAUUCAGGUGAAGCAGAUGCUGGCAAGGAUGUGGAGAAAGAGGAACACUCCUCCAUUGUUGGUGGGAUUGCAAGCUUGUACAACUACUCUGGAAAUCAAUCUGGUGGUUUCUCAGAAAAUUGGACAUAGUACUACUGGAGGAUCCCGCAAUACCUCUCCUGGGCAUAUAUCCAGAAGAUGUUCCAACUGGUAAGAAAGAUACAUGCUCCACUAUGUUCAUAGCAGCCUUAUUUAUAAUAGAUAGAAGCUGGAAAGAACCCAGAUGUUCCUCAACAGAGGAAUGGAAACAGAAAAUGUAGUAUAUUUACACAAUGGAGUACUACUCAGCUAUUAAAAAGGAUGAAUUUAUGAAAUUCCUAGGCAAAUGGUUGGACCUGGAGGGCAUCAUCCUGAGUG
rnacentral:lncRNA from 1 species